rnacentral:rRNA from 1 species
UACGUAGGGUGCGAGCGUUGUCCGGCAUUAUUGGGCGUAAAGGGCUCGUAGGCGGUUUGUCGCGUCGGGAGUGAAAACCCAGGGCUUAACCCUGGGCUGGCUUCCGAUACGGGCAGACUAGAGGUAUGCAGGGGAGACUGGAAUUCCUGGUGUAGCGGUGGAAUGCGCAGAUAUCAGGAGGAACACCGGUGGCGAAGGCGGGUCUCUGGGCAGUAACUGACGCUGAGGAGCGAAAGCGUGGGGAGCGAACAGG